GCUGGGUGUGGUGGCGCAUGCCUAUAGUCCCAUCUACUUAGGAGGCUGAGGUGGGAGGAUCACUUGAGCUAGGGAGUUCUAGGCUAUAAUGUGCUAUGCCGGUGAGGUGCUUGCAUCAAAGUUCAGCAUCCACAUGGUGACCUCCUGGGAGUGGGGGACCACAUGGUUGCCUAAGGAGGGAAUAAACUGGCCCAGGUUAGAACUAGAACAGGUCAAAACUCCUGUGUUGAUCAGUAGUGGGAACAGACCUGUUAAUAGCCACUGCACGCCAGCCUGGACAAUACAGCAAGACCCUCAUCUCU
rnacentral:SRP_RNA from 1 species